GACCCCGCUCCACCCUCCGUACCACGUGGGCCAGGCGCCCCGCAGCCUGAUCCCUCGGCUGAGGCGGGGUCAGAGGGCUAAGGGUGACUGACUGCCCAGUGCAUGGAUCUCAGCAGCACGGCUUGACUUUCGGGCGGCAGGCAAGGAUGCUAAUCCACAAGGUUCCUGAGUCCAACAUCCCUCCCUCCAAUGUGGGGCUCGAAUCCGCUAUUGCAACCAAACCCGGGUUCUGCCCGCAGGGUGGCGCAAUGACAAGAGCCACCAGGUGACCCUGGUAACUCCCGCACCUAGACCUACAGGAGCAGUUUUUCUGCAGCACCACAUCUGUAGCCCUGCAUGCCGCUGGCUCCAGUGUUGUGUGUGUGGUCAUGCUCCAUCCAGCCCAGCAGCAACUUUGGUGUUUGACACCCCUCGGGAGGCACCGCUUUGGAAGAGACUGGUAACAGCAGGGUGGGACCGGCUACUUAGCUGUUCUCAGUCUGAAAGGAUUCUGGAAAGGGGCUCUAUUUAACCCAAGCACUGGAGUCCAACACAGCCUCUGCCGUGUGACAGGUGUGUGCGGAGCCCAAGAUGUGUUGGGAACAGCUAUCGUUUCUACUGCUUUGUCCCAUGCCUCUGGAGCUCCUGGGUUCCUGAACUUCAAGCUGGGCCCCAUCCUUCACCCUAUCAGGGCCCUGGGUGGAGCUGACUUCCAACAGUAUACAGUGGGUCUUGGUACUUCCUCCUUGGCAUUCGACAGUUGGUGUUUUUGAAGUCAGAGCCAUCCUCAGUAGGCUCCUAGGGGAUCGUAAGCGGCUUUCUCUGGGUGGAAACCUACUCCAUGCAGCCUUCAGCAAAGGUACCAGCAUCUGUCACUGGGAUGGGGAAGUCCGGUGAUCGUGUCAGCAUGGGCUACGGUGGACGGGGAAAGGCUCGUUCUGACACUAGACACCUGGGUCUCUAGCCCUAUGCCUGGAUUUGUCUGGGGAACUCUGCACCACACUGAUCCUGGCUUUCCCCAUUACCUGCUCCAUGCCAGGAUCCUACGGCUGUUGAUCCCCUCGGAAGUGAGACAUAAUGUCCCGGAGCAGAUGCUGAUGGGGACUCACUGUUGGGCCACCUGAUUUCUGUGUUCAUCUUCCCAGGCUCCACCUUUCAGAUCCCAUCCCUGGUGUCUGCAGUUACAACUUUACUAACCAGAACUUUGUUUCCAGCUUACGCUGAAAAGCAAAGGGUGACUUAGAAUAAAAAUGUAACAAAUAGCCCCAUAGCCCAAACCUUUUCUGCCAUGAUUUACUGUACCAGAUACCUAUAAGUGUCCAGGGCAAAUUAAACACAUCAAUAAAUGGCUUUCUUGUGUCUGUCCUGCA
ensembl:processed_transcript 2810468N07Rik RIKEN cDNA 2810468N07 gene